rnacentral:tRNA from 1 species
GCCCACAUAGCUCAGUGGCUGAGCAUCGACCUGUAAACCAGGAGGUCCAGGUUUGAUUCCAGGUCAGGGCA